UACAAAACAAGAAGUCAACGCUUUGGCGCUGUAUAGUUACAAAUUUACAUUCAGUAUAGUUUUAAACUCAGAGACCAAACCUGUCUUUAGACCGAAACUUUUGUUGGCUUCCCAAAAAUGUGUGCAAGUUAUAAAAUUGAAAAAGUGGUAUUGAAAUUGAAAAUGUUUUGUCAUCGUAAAACAUUUAUUUGUGCUAUUAUUUCUAUGUUGGAAAAUGAUAACCUAAUCUGGUCAAAGGAAAUGACGUUUGUUUGAUGUUUUUUAUUCUCAAUCUAUUUUAAUUCGGCAACUUAUAAAAGUGGAAAUGUGAAAACAAAAGGAAAAAUAAAUUAUUACAUUUAAAUAGUUAACUUUCACGUACAAACAAUACGAACGGCUAAAAAAUGUUUGUAUAUCGAUCAAGAAAGUACGAAAUGAAGUUGGCGCAGGAUAACAAUGAUAAAUCAUGUAAAAUUGAGCUACAGAUCAGCUCACGCUUCGCACAGAUGAGGCGAAUCAGUUAACCGCAUCGGAUUAAUUUGUACCUGCAUAGAAGUAGGAUAUGCGAGCUGCAAGUCACCGGACAGUACGCAAAACAUAAUCACCUAGUUAUAGUACAGGAAAUUGGGCAGCGAGAUGCUAAUUUGUUGUUGAGCCGCAGCUCAAUGGUUGUCUUUGUUAGCUCAUCUGUCAAACCGGUUCACUGCUGAUUUACUUCCCAAGAGUCACAUAUGAGCGGCGUAUCAGUCUGUCAGUACACGAGAGGAGAUACAAGUCUCAACAAGUCUCAAAGAGGUUUUUAGCUGGAAAUCAACAAAAAGCUGGAAUUGGGAUUAGACCUUUGCCACAUUAUUACACCUCGUUUGUCCAGCGACUCCUGGGACCUGCAACUAGUCAUUAUAACAUAAAGGCAGAGUUGAGGCAGGAAGGGCGGCGAGGGUGUUUCUUAGUUUAGGAACGCGCGCCGACUGCCGCGCGUGCAACGUCGAGCGUCGAAAUCAAGACUUCCUUAGUUACAACUAUAUUGCGAGGAACGUUUCAAACGUAGUCGGAGACGUAUUGGUGACUGAAGAUAACAUAAUUUUAUUUUACACUCUCACUGUAUAUAUUUUAUUAUUUAUUAAUCACGGCUACGAUUCAUUAAU